rnacentral:rRNA from 1 species
CUAGCCGUAAACGAUGGAUACUAGGCGUUGAGAGUAUCGACCCCCUCAGUGUCGUAGCUAACGCGUUAAGUAUCCCGCCUGGGGAGUACGCGCGCAAGCGUGAAACUCAAAGGAAUUGACGGGGGCCCGCACAAGCGGUGGAGUAUGUGGUUUAAUUCGAUGCAACGCGAAGAACCUUACCAGGGCUUGACAUGUCCGGAACCCUGCCCAAAGGCGGGGGUGCCUACGGGAACCGGAACACAGGUGGUGC